CGAACGCUGGCGGCGUGCCUAAGACAUGCAAGUCGUGCGAGAAAGCACCUUCGGGUGUAAGUACAGCGGCGCACGGGUGAGUAACGCGUGGGCAACCUGCCUUCGGGUCUGGGACAACCUCCGGGAAGCUGGGGCUAAUACCGGAUGAGACCACGAGCUCCUCGGAGCUUGCGGAAAAAGAUGGCCUCUCCUUGGAAGCUAUCGCCUGGAGAUGGGCCCGCGUCCCAUUAGCUUGUUGGUGAGGUAACGGCUCACCAAGGCGACGAUGGGUAGCUGGUCUGAGAGGACGAUCAGCCACACUGGAACUGAGACACGGUCCAGACUCCUACGGGAGGCAGCAGUCGGGAAUUUUGGACAAUGGGGGCAACCCUGACCCAGCAACGCCGCGUGAGGGAUGAAGGCCUUCGGGUCGUAAACCUCUGUCAGGAGGGAAGAAGGCUCCCAGUGAAAAUAUUGCUGGGGGAUUGACGGUACCUCCAAAGGAAGCGCCGGCUAACUCCGUG
rnacentral:rRNA from 1 species